rnacentral:rRNA from 1 species
GAGGAAGAGGAGGCGCCUCCUCCGGCGCCGCCUCGCCGCGGCGGCGUUCGCGGCGGAGGCGUAGCUCGGGGGCGAGGUGCGCGAGGCCGCCCUGGGGAGCCGGGGCGGGGGCGGCGCCCUGGGGUUGCGCGGGGCGGAGGGCCUGUGGUGGAGGAGGGAGCAGCCGGGCGCGGAGUCGGAGGUGUUGGCGCACGUCAGGGACUAGGCGAGCCCGCUGGAGCUGCCCCGGAGCCGCCGGCGGGCGCGGCGGCAGUCGAGGGCGCACGCGGGGUGGCAGAAGUGGACGUUGCGGCAGCGGCGGAGGUACCCGGCGCGCCCGGCGGUGCUGCUGCGGCACCGCGAGAAGCUGAAGAAGAAGGCGACGAGGCCGUAGCAGGGGUUGCAGCAGAGGAUGUUGUGGGAGUAGGAGCGGGUGACGCUCCGGCCGGCGCAGCUGCUCCGCGAGGCCCGGAUGGUCCUCUACGACCUGCCCCGGUGGAGGAAGAGGGGGAGGCGGCAGUCGAUGGCGGUGGAGUGGUUCCCCGAGCAGCGGCGCCUUGCGUAGGUCCUCCGGGAGCUCGAGGAGGUGUCGUACAUGGUGGCGCCGGUCCCGCGGCUGAGGUAACAGAUGUUCUUGGAGUAGCUGCCGAUGUAGCGGGAGCUGCUGACCCUGUUCCGGAAGCUCGAGAAACGGCUCGAGUGGCUCUUCCGGUGGCACAUGCUGCCGCAGCACGUGUGGUCGAAGUACCUCCCGAUGACCUUCUUUCCGUACCUGUUCCUCCGGUACCUCUUAAUGUUCAGAGACGACCUGUCCUUGAAGUUCUACUGCGGGCGGUGGACGUUGCAAGACGAGCUCUGUGAGAAGUUCGUACUGUUCGUGUUCCUCCGGUUACUGGACACCCUCUGGUACUAACUGUUGGUGUCGGGCGGUUCGAAGUAGCCGUACUUGUCGCUCAGGAUGUUACAGUACCAGUUGGUCACGAAGUUCCUCCCGUCCAAGGUCCUACGGUAACUCCACAAGGUGGCGGUCGGCUCCUCCUUGCAGGUCUACCUGCAGCCGACGAAGUUGUUGUAGUAGCCCUUCGAGACACUCUUCCCCUACGAACGUCUCCGUCUCUUCGAGAAACUCCUCUACCUCUCGUUCAGCCACGAAGGUCUACACAUGUGGAUGUGAAAGGACCAGCUGAACACGAAGUUCCUUCCAGCACACCUACUGUGCUAAGUCAUGAAAAUGUUUUACCGUCUGCCCUCCCUCGUGCCGGGUUUCAAGUUGUAGCCGAAAAAGUUAUCUUACAAACUUCCUGAAAGUGUUCGACCGGCCUAACUACUACGGAACUUCCACAUGCCUUCCUACAGACUGUUCCUCUAGUUCGGCUUGUGUUGUUGUAAACUUUAGGACCAAUUACGUGACACGUUCCUUCCCCUUAACCUAUCUCGUGACCUGGACCACUCCCUGUACCGUUCCUCACCACAACAGCGUUGAGGACUCAAGGCCCUCAGACAGCCACUCUAAAAGUUCUUACGGCUAGCCGUGCUUCUCUAGCUCUUUCGAAAACUUCUUUUUGGUCACGGUGACGGAGGAGUCGGUUCUGGUCUCCAAGCGGGAGCGUCAAGUGGAGUCCCCAACGGUCCUAAACGUAGAUUAGUCUGUGCCCCGUCGAUGUGUGGAUUGGUUCCGGUUGGUCCAAUACCAAGAGGUGUUGGUAAAGUAGGACGGUUACGACGUAGAGUUCACGCCGUUGGGCUCACCUACAGAGGAUUUGAAGUCGUCGGGCACAGACCUUUGGUUGUUCAACUUUUUUGUCUACAACCACGAAGAUUAUUUACCGACGUACCAUAAAGAAGAGGAGUUCUUUUUGUUGUACCCUAACGGGACGGAGUUCUACCUUUUGUCGGUCUCAAACCAUGGAGAGCGGGAACCGUCGUUUGUCAACCACGAGGAGUUCAAGUCGUUGGAUUAAAACCGAGUCGAUGUGGUGACGUCGGACCCAAACCAUCAGCUGGCGUCGUUGGUGGUGUACAACGAGUACUCUGAGUUGUAGGACCCAAACCGUGUAGAGCAGGUACCGUCUGUCCCAUACCACGAGUGGUUCGUGUUGUCGGUCCGGUACCGCGAGUAGUUCGCGUUGUCGGACCCAUACCACGAGUAGUUCGCGUUGUCGGACCUAUACCACGAGUAGUUCGCGUCGUCGGACCUAUACCACGCGUAGUUCGCGUCGUCGGACCUAUACCGCGGGUAGUUCGCGUUGUCCGGCCUAUACCGCGGGUAGUCCGCGUUGUCGGGCCUAUACCGUGGGUAGCCCGCGUUGUCGGGCCUAUACCGCGGGUUGUCCGCGUUGUCGGGUCUAUACCGCGGUUAGUUCGCGUUGUCGGACCCAUACCCCGAGUAGUUCGUGUUGUCGGACCCAUACCCCGAGUAGUUCCCGUUGUCGGGUCCAUACCCCGAGUAGUUCCAGUAGUCGGACCCAUACCAUGAGUAGUUCGCGUUGUCGGACCCAUACCACGAAGAGUCGGUAGUGUCGGUAGUAAACCACGGGGACUUCGUGGUGCCAGAUCAAACCCGAGACGAGUCUCAGAGGGUGUGAUACCGGUGUAUCCUUUACUCGUACUAGUCGAACCUAGAAGAGCAGUUCCACCUGGUCGUAAAUCGUGAGUCGGUGGCGUCUGACGACUCCGGGGUCUGUUGUACCGAUAGUUUAUGUCAGUCGCAAUGAUCAAAAAAACGUUGGGACCCGAGGUUUGGUUUAUAUGGGAUUCAAUUACUCUUUCACGGUUUUUGUUAAGAAUAGAAACAAUUGUUCGACGACGUGCCUACCUUACCAGACAAUCACCUAACUUUUGACGACCUUCGCCCACUAAUUUUACCUACUACCAGCUGCGGUGAUGUUAGAAUGAAAACCUACGACAGAUAACCUAUGUACCGACUACUAGAAUGAUCUUCUGAACAACUAAGACCACCACGACGAGGACGAUGAAUAGAACCUUCGGGCUACGGUCCUACUCACACCACACGACACAAGACGUUCACAAAAACCCAGUUCUUAUCGAGUACCUUAGACCACAUGACUCAUGUUCUCCAGGUCCAAAAAUCCUUGGCGUCCUCACGAAUACCACCUCCCGAAAGACCUUGACGAAAAUCUCUCUCCUAAUAAGCACGAAAGAACCAGUUUCUCGUCUUCUAACGGUUCUUCCAGGACU